rnacentral:rRNA from 1 species
UACAGAGGGGGCAAGCGUUGUUCGGAAUUACUGGGCGUAAAGGGCGCGUAGGCGGCCGCCUAAGUCAGACGUGAAAUCCCUCGGCUCAACCGGGGAACUGCGUCUGAUACUGGGUGGCUUGAAUUCGGGAGAGGGAUGCGGAAUUCCAGGUGUAGCGGUGAAAUGCGUAGAUAUCGGGAGGAACACCAGUGGCGAAGGCGGCUUUCUGGUCUGCUCUUGACGCUGAGGCGCGAAAGCUAGGGUAGCAAACGGG